GGCGGGAUGCCUAACACAUGCAAGUCGAACGGUAGCUUCGGAUCUGGUCUGGCACGGUAUGCGUGACGGGUUGAAUUAUGUCUCGGAAUCUGCCAUGACGCAGGGGAAUUUCUGUUAAUAGCAGCUAAUAUCGCAUAACCAACGAUUGAUCGACUAAGGGGGACUCCGCGUUUCUUUUCAUCGGAUGGGCACCGUAUAUGUCUCACUAGUAGGAUGAUGUCACGGCUCACCUAGGCGACGAUCCAGCUAGCUGGUCUGAGAGGAUGACCAGCCACACUGGGGAGGCAGCCAGGGUCCAGACUCCUGCGGCGAGGCAGCAGUGGGGAAUAUUGCACAAUGGGCGCAAGCCUGAGCAGCCUGCCGCGU
rnacentral:rRNA from 1 species